UGGUGAUACUAAUACAAAGAUAUGGGUGCUUAUUAGAGAAUGAAUUCACUAAAUAGACCUAUAAGAGAAUAUUUGAUGGAGUUUUAUUUACAUGUCAGUUGAUGAUUCUCUAAUGAAAGUUGUGUAAGUGAUCUUUUGACCUAAAAUCGUCAUGGUACCUUAUGUAUAUGAAUCUAUAUUUUGGUUUAUUUUCUAACUUGAUUCUCUGAUCUUUGUAUGGGAUAUUUUGGAUGUGG
rnacentral:lncRNA from 1 species